AACGAACGCUGGCGGCAUGCCUAACACAUGCAAGUCGAACGAGACCAUCGGGUCUAGUGGCGCACGGGGGCGGAACGCGUGGGAACCUGCCCUUAGGUUCGGAAUAACUCCCCGAAAGGGGUGCUAAUACCGGAUAAUGUCUUAGGACCAAAGAUUUAUCGCCUUUGGAUGGGCCCGCGUUGGAUUAGCUAGUUGGUAGGGUAAAAGCCUACCAAGGCGACGAUCCAUAGCUGGUCUGAGAGGAUGAUCAGCCACACUGGGACUGAGACACGGCCCAGACUCCUACGGGAGGCAGCAGUGGGGAAUAUUGGACAAUGGGCGAAAGCCUGAUCCAGCUAUGCCGCGUGAGUGAUGAAGGCCUUAGGGUUGUAAAGCUCUUUUACCCGGGAUGAUAAUGACAGUACCGGGAGAAUAAGCUCCGGCUAACUCCGUG
rnacentral:rRNA from 1 species